AUUGAACGCUGGCGGCAGGCCUAACACAUGCAAGUCGAGCGGAGCGGCGGAAGGGUGGGUAAUGCCUAGUAAUCUGCCUGGUAGUGGGGGAUAACGUCCGGAAACGGGAGCUAAUACCGCAUGCUAUCAGGUGAGUCUAGGUCGGAUUAGCUAGUUGGUGGGGUAAAGGCCUACCAAGGCGACGAUCCGUAACUGGUCUGAGAGGAUGAUCAGUCACACUGGAACUGAGACACGGUCAAGACUCCUACGGGAGGCAGCAGUGGGGAAUAUUGGACAAUGGGCGAAAGCCUGAGCCAGCCAGGCCGCGUGUGGGAAGAAGGUCUUCGGAUUGUAAAGCACUUUAAGUUGGGAGGCGUUACCAACAGAAUAAGCACCGGCUAACUUCGUGCCAGCCGCCGCGGUAAUAC
rnacentral:rRNA from 1 species